rnacentral:rRNA from 1 species
CAGUCGCCACGGUAAUACGAAGGGGGCUAGCGUUGCUCGGAAUGACUGGGCGUAAAGGGCGCGUAGGCGGAUGGCACAGUCAGAUGUGAAAUUCCCGGGCUUAACCUGGGGGCUGCAUUUGAUACGUGUUGUCUAGAGUGAGGAAGAGGGUCGUGGAAUUCCCAGUGUAGAGGUGAAAUUCGUAGAUAUUGGGAAGAACACCGGUGGCGAAGGCGGCGACCUGGUCCUUUACUGACGCUGAGGCGCGAAAGCGUGGGGAGCAAACAGGAUUAGAUACCCCAGUAGUCCCUGUCUCUUAUAC